UACGAAGGGGGCUAGCGUUGCUCGGAAUCACUGGGCGUAAAGCGCACGUAGGCGGACUCUUAAGUCGGUGGUGAAAUCCUGGGGCUCAACUCCAGAACUGCCUUCGAUACUGGGAGUCUCGAGUCCGGGAGAGGUGAGUGGAACUGCGAGUGUAGAGGUGAAAUUCGUAGAUAUUCGCAAGAACACCAGUGGCGAAGGCGGCUCACUGGCCCGGUACUGACGCUGAGGUGCGAAAGCGUGGGGAGCAAACAGG
rnacentral:rRNA from 1 species